rnacentral:snRNA from 1 species
AUACCUACCAGGCAGGGGAGAUACAAUGAUCAUGAAAGUGGUUCUCUUAGGUGAGGCUGACCCAUGACACUUCGAAUGUGCUGACCCCUGUGAUUUCCCCAAAUGUGGGCAAACAUGAGCACAUCACUUGUGGUAGUAAGGGACUGUGUUCACACUCCCCUC